rnacentral:rRNA from 1 species
CCUACGGGUGGCUGCAGUGGGGAAUAUUGGACAAUGGGGGUAACCCUGAUCCAGCCAUGCCGCGUGUGUGAAGAAGGCCCUCGGGUUGUAAAGCACUUUCAGUGAGGAAGAACGCCUGGUGGUUAAUACCCAUCAGGAAAGACAUCACUCACAGAAGAAGCACCGGCUAACUCCGUGUCAGCAGCCGCGGUAAUACGGAGGGUGCGAGCGUUAAUCGGAAUUACUGGGCGUAAAGCGCGCGUAGGUGGCUUGAUAAGCCGGUUGUGAAAGCCCCGGGCUCAACCUGGGAACGGCAUCCGGAACUGUCAAGCUAGAGUGCAGGAGAGGAAGGUAGAAUUCCCGGUGUAGCGGUGAAAUGCGUAGAGAUCGGGAGGAAUACCAGUGGCGAAGGCGGCCUUCUGGACUGACACUGACGCUGAGGUGCGAAAGCGUGGGUAGCAAACAGGAUUAGAUACCCCAGUAGUC